UACGUAGGGUGCAAGCGUUGUCCGGAAUUAUUGGGCGUAAAGAGCUCGUAGGCGGUUUGUCGCGUCUGCUGUGAAAACUCGGGGCUUAACUCCGGGCCUGCAGUGGGUACGGGCAGACUAGAGUGCGGUAGGGGAGACUGGAAUUCCUGGUGUAGCAGUGAAAUGCGUAGAUAUCAGGAGGAAUACCGAUGGCGAAGGCAGGUCUCUGGGCUAUAACUGACGCUCAUGCACGAAAGCGUGGGGAGCAAACAGG
rnacentral:rRNA from 1 species